AUUGAACGCUGGCGGCAUGCUUUACACAUGCAAGUCGAACGGCAGCGCGGGCUUCGGCCUGGCGGCGCGUGGCGAACGGGUGAGUAAUACAUCGGAACGUGCCCAGUAGUGGGGGAUAGCUCGGCGACAGCCGGAUUAAUACCGCAUACGACCUGAGGGUGAAAGCGGGGGAUCUUCGGACAUCGCGCUAUUGGAGCGGCCGAUGGCAGAUUAGCUAGUUGGUGGGGUAAAGGCCUACCAAGGCGACGAUCUGUAGCUGGUCUGAGAGGACGACCAGCCACACUGGGACUGAGACACGGCCCAGACUCCUACGGGAGGCAGCAGUGGGGAAUUUUGGACAAUGGGCGAAAGCCUGAUCCAGCAAUGCCGCGUGUGUGAUGAAGGCCUUCGGGUUGUAAAGCACUUUUGGCGGGAACGAAAAGGACUGUGCCAAUACCACGGUUCGAUGACGGUACCCGCAGAAUAAGCACCGGCUAACUACGUG
rnacentral:rRNA from 1 species